AAUUGUCCUCUGAAAUCAGUAAAUUAUUGAAAAGGAAACAUCAUUUAGUACCUACCCCAUGUGAUUUUCUCCGAAGACCAUAAACCUCAUCAAGUCAAUAUUGCGAACCCUUUCCUCACCCAUCACCUUUCUUUUAUCCCAUCUGAUCUGCUUCACUUGAGAUUCAACCAUGGCUGAAAAACUUUAUGGUGGAGCUUACCUCUCUCCCUUUGUUGAUACUGUUUUGGACAACAUGUCUUCAAUACUUGAAGAAGACGACUCUUUCCUCGAAAGCAACAACUUGCUUGGAAGGUUACAGAAUUGUCUGUAUGAUGUUGCACCUGUUCUUGAUGAUGCUGAGCUGAAGCAGUUCACUGACAAGAAAGUGAAGAAGUGGCUUGUUGAUCUUCAAGAUGCUCUCUUUAUGGCGGAUGACUUACUCGACGAACUCUCCACUAAAGCCGCUAUUGCUGCCACUCAAAUGGAUCCAGGUAACUCUUCCUCCUGGUCUCGCCUUGUUGAUUCAUAUAUUGAGGAUACUGGUGACAUCGAAUACAUAGUUCGAAGACUAGAAUCUGCUGUAGCACGCAAAAAUUAUCUUCGUUUGAAGGAGACCGCAAAGGUGGACAUGUCAUGGAGAAUUCCAUCCACAUGUCUUGUUGAACCAUCGGAGAUAUGUGGCAGGAAAGAAGACAAGGAGGCCAUACUGAAGCUGUUGUUGGAUGAUGAUGAUGAUGCUCAUGGUGAUUUAUCUGUCAUUCCCAUUGUGGGCAUGGGCGGAAUAGGAAAGACUACUUUGGCCCAAUUGCUUUACAAUGACGAUAAAAUGAAGGGGAAUUUUGAUUUUCGAGGUUGGGUUUGUGUGUCCGAAGAGUUUGAUGUCACUAAGGUCACCAAGACUAUAAUUGAGGCAAUAACAAAGAGUCCUUGUAACUUGAAUGAUUUGAAUUUACUUCAACAGGAAUUAAAAGAAAAAUUGUCAACGCGGAAAUUCUUUGUUGUCUUUGAUGACGCAUGGAAUGAGGAUUAUGAAGAUUGGAAUAGGCUUCUAAAACCUUUUCAGAAUGGGGUUAAGGGGAGUAAAAUUCUCAUAACCACUAGAAGUAAAAAAGUGGCUUCUGCCGCGCAAACGGUUUCACCACAUGAACUAAGUUUAUUGUCGGAUGAAGAUUGUUGGCUAGUAUUUUCAAAACAUGCACGCCUUUCCACUGACUCUAUGGAAAAUCCAAUUCUGAGAAAAGUCGGCAAAGAUAUUGUAAAGAAGUGUGAUGGAUUGCCCUUGGCAGCUCAAGCCCUCGGAGGCCUAUUGCGUGGAAAUUCUGAUGUCGAGUAUUGGAAGCAUAUAUUGAAGAGUGAGGUAUGGAAAUUCUCCAAUGACAAGAUAAAAGUUGUUCCGGCUUUAAGAAUCAGUUAUUAUUAUCUUCCUUCAUGUCUGAAAGAGUGCUUUGUUUAUUGCUCGUUGUAUCCGAAGGAUUAUGAAUUUGAUAAAGAUGAGCUCAUCUUGUUAUGGAUGGCUCAGAAUUUUUUACAACCAACUGGGAGAAACACUUUAGAAGAAGUUGGUGAUGAAUAUUUCAAUGAAUUAGUUGCGCGAUCAUUUUUGCAACCUCAUAGUACUCUGACAAAUAUAUUUGUGAUGCAUGAUCUCGUACAUGAUUUGGCACUGAUGUUUGGUGGAGAAUUCUAUUUUAGAGCGGAAGAGCUUCAGAAUGCAGUUGAGGUUGAUAUUAAAACUCGUCAUUUGUCCCAUAAUGCUAAAGGCAAUUAUCCAAUCUCAAAACUGUUGGGAGUUUGUGACAGAAUAAAACAUACAAGAACAUUUCUUGAAAUCAAUCUGGAAUGGGGGAUUCCAUUCAACAUGGAAAACGCACCUUUCAUGUUGUUGUCACAGUUGAAGUACCUGAGAGCCUUGUCGUUCAAUAGCUUUCCUCUAGAGUCUGUACCUGAUUCAAUAGGUGAGUUGAUUCAUUUGCGUUACUUGGAUCUGUCCGAGACCUACAUUGUUACAUUGCCGGAGUCAUUGGGUAACCUGUAUAACUUGCAGACCUUGAAGUUGUAUAGGUGUAGAAAUCUGAAAAUGCUACCUGUUUGCAUGAAAGACCUUGUCAAUUUGCGCCAUCUUGAUAUUAGAGUGACUCAGUCAUUGCAUGAGAUGCCGAAAGGCAUGAGCCAGUUGAAAAAUUUGCAGUUUUUAAGCGACUAUGUUGUUGGGAAGCGUGAAGAGAACAAGAUCACAGAAUUGGGAGUACUUGCAGAUCUACAGCAAUCAAUUUCCAUUGCCGGUUUGGAGAAUGUGGUGAACAGCAGUGAAGCUUCGAUGGCAAGAAUGUUUGAUAAGGAUGGCAUUUGCUCUUUGGAGUUGAGUUGGUCGCCAGAUGAAGAUGAGAAUGAAGUUGAUUCCCAAAUAGAAAGAGAUAUACUGAACGAGUUACAACCUCAUUGUAAUUUGAAAAAACUAGAAAUCGAGGGUUAUAGGGGUACAACCUUUCCAGAUUGGUUGGGACAUUCUUCCUACCACAACAUCACCAGAGUAAAACUGGAUGGUUGCAGGAAUUGUUGUAUGCUUCCUUCACUUGGACAAUUGCCCUCUUUGAAGCACCUUGAAAUUGGAUUUUUUGAAAGUCUGGGGAUUGUGGGUGCUGAGUUUUACUUUUACGAGAACGAUGAAUCUUGUGUGGAGACACCACCAUUUCAAAAGCUUGAAACUCUUUUGUUUAAGUCAAUGCCUUGCUGGAAGGAGUGGCGUUCAUUGGUGUUCAAUGCAUUUCCUCGACUUAGGGAGCUUACCAUAUGGAAGUGUCCGUCGUUGAGAGGAGAUUUGCCCAUUCAUCUAUCAUCUUUGCAAUCACUUAAGAUUGAGAAGUGCGAUGAGCUGAGUUGUUGUGUUCCAAGGGCUCCUGCGAUUACCACUCUUUCAAUUUCAGGAAAGCAUCUAGUGGGGUCCGUGGUGGAGGCCAUUACCAACACGCAACUCACUUGCCUCACUUCUCUACGCAUCUCAGAUUGUUCCUCCCACAUAUGGUUUCCAGUGAGUGCUAUUCCCCCAUCACUACAAGAGUUGUGGAUACGGGAUUGCAGAAAAUUAGAAUUCGAAAUGGAUGGCCAACACCACUCACUUCAGGAACUAUACAUACGUAGCAGCUGUGAUUCACUUGCGUCCUUCUCCUUGUUGGAUUCCUUUCCGAAUCUCGUGCGUAUUCAUAUCAAUUACUGUGGAAACAUGGAGUCUAUUGUGGUGUCACGCUCUCUUUCAUGUCUCCGUUAUUUAUGGAUCAACCAUUGUGGGAGUAUGAAAUCCGUGUCGACGAUAUGGAUGGCAGCACCUCAGCUAGAGCAUCUCGAAUUAGUGGGUUGCCCAGAGAUCGAUUUGUCUGCUCCAGGGGUUCCACACCGUAGCCUCAGAUAUCUUGGAAUCAGCUACUGCGAGAAACUAGUGAGCACUGCAGUUUUCAUGAAUUCACAAUUUCAAGGGCUUAUUCAUCUUUCGAUUGAAGGUGAAUAUAAGGAGAGUGUGAAGUGCCUCCCAAAGGAAGGUUGGUUGCCUGCCUCACUUGAGUCUCUGGAACUCAAACGCAUUAAAAGUGUGGAGACGUUGGAAUGCAAGGGACUUGCCCACCUCACCUCCCUCCAACAUUUAACUAUUAAUGAAUGUCCCAAGUUGGAGAAUAUGGAGGGUGAAAAGCUGCCUGCCUCUCUAACACAACUCAACAUCUGGGGAAGCCCUUUGCUGGGCAAACGGUGUGAGAUGAAGGAUCCACAGCUUUGGCCCAAAAUCUCCCACAUCCCUGCCAUUCAAGUUGAUGGCAGAUGGAUUUGGUAAUCCAACAACUUCAACAGUACUCUUACAUCCUUUGAUACUUCUUCAGACCCUUAGGCAUUGGAGUUGGGACAUGAUGAAAUUAGAUGAUGAAAUCUACCGCGAGGAAAGUGUACAGUAUACCCUUGAAGUAUACCAGCUCAUAUGGGAAACAAUUCAAUAUUCGCUUAUCCAAAGGCAGAACUGAGAUUGAGGCUGCUGAUAAGCAAAGAAGGGAGUGCUCUGAUAUAGGCAUCACAAUUGGUGCAACAAUUUGAAGUUCUUUAUGAGGUUCAAGAUCCUUGAGAAUGCCAAACGGACACUCUCAAGGAUAAUAGAAGUCGCGCUGCGACUCCUUCUAAAGAAGUGGCUAGGAAUCAGUAAAGAAACUUGAUAUCAUGGUCACUGAGAUCUCCAUUGAUCUGAGUUUGAAUUACAAAUAUUGUUCACUCACUGUUUGUGGUGUAUGCUUUCCUUUCCUUUAAGUACUUCAUAGUUCUUAUGUUAGUAAGUAAUGUGUGAUUAGUUGUAACAUGGAAAGGGAUAACUUAGUUGUACUUGAAGAAGAGAGUAUUCAAUAAAUAGUAGAUGUUUUUGGCCCCAGUCCUAUUCCUUGAUGGCAAUGCCGAAGGGGGAUAGAGGCUGGUCCUUAACCAGGCACUUGAUGGCUAUGCUGGAGAGUCUUUGGUUGGGGGGUUAUUUUUCAAAAAAGAAUAAAAGGUGUAAGAUGGAAAGAUGUUUAUGGUUAACAAGAAGUCAAGAAUGAAGAAUUACUUCUUCCAGUGGCUUAA